AGCAGUGUUUGUUUUGCCCACA
rnacentral:miRNA from 1 species